CGCUAAGGGAUGGGGAUGCGUCCGAUUAGGCUAGCAGGCGGGGUGACGGCCCACCUGGCCUUCGAUCGGUAGGGGUUCUGAGAGGAAGGUCCCCCCACAUUGGUACUGAGACACGGACCAAACUCCUACGGGAGGCAGCAGUGAGGAAUAUUGGUCAAUGGGCGCGAGCCUGAACCAGCCAAGUAGCGUGAGGGAUGACGGCCCUACGGGUUGUAAACCUCUUUUGGCAGGGAAUAAAAGUCACCCACGUGUGGGUGUUUGUAUGUACCUGCAGAAUAAGGACCGGCUAAUUCCGUGCC
rnacentral:rRNA from 1 species